rnacentral:rRNA from 1 species
GACAGAGGUGCCAAGCGUUAGGCGGAAUCACUGGGCUUAAAGCGUGUGUAGGCGGAUCGGUAAGUACCUUGUGAAAUCCCACGGCUCAACCGUGGAACUGCUCGGUAUACUGCCUAUCUUGAGCCACUUAGGGGCUGUCGGAACAAACGGUGGAGCGGUGAAAUGCGUAGAUAUCGUUUUGGAACGCCGAUGGUGAAAACAGACGCUGGGGGGUGUCCUGACGCUGAGACGCGAAAAGCCAGGGGGAGCGAACGGGG